AGCAGUCGCCACGGUAAUACGUAGGUGGCAAGCGUUGUCCGGAAUUAUUGGGCGUAAAGGGCUCGCAGGCGGUUUCUUAAGUCUGAUGUGAAAGCCCCCGGCUCAACCGGGGAGGGUCAUUGGAAACUGGGAAACUUGAGUGCAGAAGAGGAGAGUGGAAUUCCACGUGUAGCGGUGAAAUGCGUAGAGAUGUGGAGGAACACCAGUGGCGAAGGCGACUCUCUGGUCUGUAACUGACGCUGAGGAGCGAAAGCGUGGGGAGCGAACAGGAUUAGAUACCCGUGUAGUCCCUGUCUCUUAUAC
rnacentral:rRNA from 1 species